GAUGGCACGGCAUGGCUCAUAGAUGGGGGUGCACUGACUGAGGGUCCUAUCUCAGGCUUUGAUACAAAGGCUCUGCCUGGGCUCAGGUGAUGAUGAGGGAGUCUCUCCCUCAGCAUGCUCUUCCUCCUCCUCGACUGCAGCUACACGAUCCUUGGCCCAACGACCAUCUACUCUGAUAAAACUCAUACAUCGAAGGGAGUGGUCAUUGUAGGUGUCAGUAUUCAAUAAUUUGCAAACAAUCUUCCCCUUAAAGCUCACACCAGACUCCCUAAAUAUCAUUAUCAAAACCAUUCCAUAGGGCAAGGGAGCCUUGGAUCUAUUCAAGGCCUCCCUCAUGGCAUCAAUCAUCAGGAAUGGCAGAUUUGGUGGAGACUCAGAGACUACA
rnacentral:lncRNA from 1 species